CUUAGAUAAGGUCAGUGCCAGUGUAGGUAGUGAUGAUAUAACAGACAGCUUCUUAGAUAAGGUCAGUGCCAGUGUAGGUAGUGAUGAUAUAACAGACAUCUUCUUAGAUAAGGUCAGUGCCAGUGUAGGUAGUGAUGAUAUAACAGACAUCUUCUUAGAUAAGGUCAGUACCAGUGUAGGUAGUGAUGAUAUAACAGACAGCUUCUUAGAUAAGGUCAGUGCCAGUGUACUGUAGGUAGUGAUGAUAUAACAGACAGGUUCUUAGAUAAGGUCAGUGCCAGUGUAGGUAGUGAUGAUAUAACAGACAUCUUCUUAGAUAAGGUCAGUGCCAGUGUAGGUAUAGUGACGAUAUAACAGACAGUUUCUUAGAUAAGGCCAGUGUACUGUAGGUAUAGUGAUGAUAUAACAGACAGCUUCUUAGGUAAGGUCAGUGCCAGUGUAGGUAUAGCGAUGAUAUAACAGACAGUUUUUUAGGUAAGGUCAGUGCCAGUGUAGGUAGUGAUGAUAUAACAGACAUAAGGUCAGUGCCAGUGUAGGUAGUGAUGAUAUAACAGACAGCUUCUUAGAUAAGGUCAGUGCCAGUGUAGGUAUAGCGAUGAUAUAACAGACAGCUUCUUAGGUAAGGUCAGUGCCAGUGUAGGUAGUCAUGAUAUAACAGACAGCGGCAGUGUGAGAAAGAAACCUGGAAAAUACAAGCAGAACGUCGACGUUUCGAGUGAAGGCCUUUCGUCGGGAAGUUAGUAGCCAACACUAAAACCAUACAGGAACACUAAAAAAGCACUACGACCAGUGAGCUCCAUAUGUGUAGAAAGUGUGACUUAGGAUGGCAGUCCCUUUCUAUGAGAGGGAGAUUUAGGAGAGAAAUCGCACAUACAGACGAGUCCAAGCCAAGAUUAAAUAUAAAGCG